ensembl:lncRNA
GGGGUUAGUGAGGUGUGUAGUGUGUGUAGUGUCUGGGGUUGGUAGUGGGGAUAGUGUAGUGCGUAGUGUGUAGUGUCUGGGGUUGGUAGUGGGGACAGUGUAGUGUGUUGUGUUUGGGGUUGGUAGUGGGGUAAGUGUUGUGUGUAGUGUCUAGGGUUGGUAGUGGGGAUAGUGAAGUGUGUAGUGUCUGGGGUUGAAGUGUGUAGUGUCUGGGGUUGGUAGUGGGAAUAGUGUAGUGUGUAGGUUCUGGGGUUGGUAGUGGGGAUAGUGUAGUGUGUAGUGUCUGGGGUUGGUAGUGGGGUUAGAGUAGUGUGUAUUGUGUAGUGUCUGGGGUUGAUAGUGGGGUUAGUGUAGUGUGUAGUGUCUAGGGUUGGUAGUGGGGUUAGUGUAGUGUGUAGUGUCGAGGGUUGGUAGAGGAGUUAAUGUAGUGUGACGUGUCUGGGGAUGGCAGUGGGUAUGUGAAGUGUGUAGUGUGUAGUGUCUGGGGUUGGAAGAUGGGUUCGUGUAGUGUGUAGACUGUAGUGGCUGGGGUUGGUAAUGGGGAUAGUGUAGUGUCUGGGGAUGGUAGUGUGGUUAGUGUAGUGUCUGGGUUGGUAGUGGGAAUAGUGUAGUGUGUAUUGUCUGGGGUUGGUAGUGGGGAUAGUGUAGUGUGUAGUGUCUGGGGUUGGGAGUGGGGUUAGUGUAGUGUGUAGUGUCUGGGUUUGGUAGUGGGGUUAGUGUAGUGUGUAGUGUGGUGUAGUGUCUGGGGUUGGUAGUGGGGUUAGUGUAGUGUGUAGUGUGUGGUGUCUGGGGUUGGUGGUGGGGAUAGUGUAGUGUGUAGUGUCUGGGUUGGUAGUGGGGUUGGUGUAGUGUGUAGUGGCUGGGGUUGGUAGUGGGGUUAGUGUAGUGUGUAGUAUCUGGGGAUGCU